CGAUAAAGUGCAUUCUCUUUACGAAGCAAUAGACACAGAUGUCGCGAUAUUUACUCUUGGGGAUUUUCCUGUUGGUCCUACAAAGUCAUGAAGUAUCAAAAAAAGUGGGGAGAAUUCUCCCCUACUUUUCUGCGAAACAUUGGAGAAUUACGUGUGAGAUGGUUAAAGUACAAAUUUAAAAAACGACCGUUAUUUAUCGAAGAUGAGUUGUAAUAAGGAUCGAGACAAUGAUAACUUGUUGAAGAAGCUAAGAAGAAGCGAAGAAAACGAGGUUGCAAAAUGUAAAAGUAGCGCGGACAAUAAUGAAGGGCACAAAUUACGACAAGGAACCGAUAGUUUCCCAAAUAUUAAUGAAAGACCAGUCGACGAUAUAUCUAUUAAAUUCUUUUACAAACCACACACUAUCACGUUGCUUCUUAUUUCAAUAGCUGCUGUAAUUUAUUCAGCUUUUACAAGGAAUACCAACAAUGUGGAGGACAACAUGUGGGCUGGCAUGUUGUGCGUUAUCUUUUUCUUCCUUAUUAUAUCAGUGCUUACAUUUCCAAAUGGACCAUUUACAAGACCACAUCCAGUUGUUUGGAGAAUCGUUUUUGGUUGCAGUGUACUUUAUUUGAUGGGUUUACUCUUUAUGUUAUUUCAAAAUUAUGAUACUGUUAGGAAAAUUCUUGUAUGGGUGGAUCCAGGUUUAGCAUCUUUCCACAUAGACAUGGAUAAGGAAUAUGGUGUUAAUUGCUCAGAUGUUACAAUAGAAAAAAUAUGGAAUCACUUGGAUGUGUUUGCACUUGCUCACUUUUUAGGCUGGGCCUUUAAAGCUAUUCUUAUACGUCAUCUUGGUAUUCUUUGGGCUAUUAGCGUUAUGUGGGAAGUAACAGAAAUAGCAUUCGCGCAUUUAUUACCAAACUUUAUUGAAUGUUGGUGGGAUGCUUUUAUACUUGAUGUUUUGGUAUGUAAUGGUCUUGGCAUUUGGGUUGGAUUAAAGAUAUGUUCUAUUUUGGAAAUGAGAGAGUAUAAAUGGGUCAGUAUAAGGGACAUAGAAAGUACUACUGGAAAAUUAAAAAGAGCAGUUCUUCAAUUUACUCCUGGUAGUUGGACUUCCGUAAGAUGGUUAGAUCCAACGUGCACUCAUAUGCGAUUUGUAGCUCUUUGCCAGCUAGUUAUUUUCUGGCAAGUUUCUGAGCUGAAUACAUUCUUUCUGAAACAUGUAUAUGAAUUCCCACCUUCUCAUCCGUUCGUCAUAACACGUUUGGUAUUGAUUGGAGUGAUCGUUGCUCCAUCAGUUAGGCAAUAUUAUAUGUAUGUAACUGAUCCAUCAUGCAGUAGAGUAGGGACUCAGUGUUGGGUAUAUGGUGCCAUUAUGGUAACGGAAGCAUUACUUUGUAUCCGUCAUGGUGCAGCACUGUUUGAACGGACACAAGCCUUAAACAUACUUCUUUGGCUUCUUUGUCAGUCUCUAGUUUCUGUGUUAUGCGUCUAUGGCUGUGUUUUGUGGCAUCAGUACUUUGAGACGGAUAAGAAAACCGUUAAAAAGCAGUCUGUGAUCAAACUACACGAGAGCCGCUUGGAUGUAACUUGUAGUGGGGAUAUGGCACAUCACGCACAAUCUGUGGAUUCGUUGGAUAAAAAAGAACAGUAAGACGGUACCUUGUAAUAAUUAACCAAAUUAAUGGUUAAUUUAUCAUACUAUGCAACUUUCUAGUCGUUCUGAAGCGUACGAAUGAAUUUGUAAGCUUAGCAAAAUAGGACUGGAUAUAUUUGGAAAAGAUUUCGGUAUCUUCUGAUUCUUUGAGGUAUGGAAAGACAUCACAAGUAAUACUGGGGACAAUUUGUGAUCCUUUAGAACAAUUCCAUGUUUCGCCCAGUAAGUUAUUGUUAGAUGCAGAAACGAAGACACGGAUACGGCUAGGUAAUUCUUCGUUUUCAUGAAGAGA